rnacentral:lncRNA from 1 species
AAGAUGGCGGCGUUUGCACGGAGUGCAAUCACUGCGUCCUUACGGGGGUUGCAAGGCGUCCGAAGUAUGAGUCCAGUAACAAAAGGCCAGAAACUCGCCAGUUAAUAGUAUUGUGUCUCUUCAAAAUAUCGGAGAAUAAUUUCUUUCUCGCUGAUCGCCUAACUUCUACUGACGAAGCUAGGAAGUUGCAGAAGAAAUACAAAAAAAAUUCUAAAACUUGUAUGGAACUACAAAAGACAUUAAAUAAUCAAAGUAAUCUUGAGCAACAAGGACACAGCUGGAGGCAUCACUCUACCUGAUUUUGUAAUCCAUUAUCAAAAAACUGUGGUACCAGCAUAAAAGCAGAUUCACUGACCAGUGGAACAGGAAAGCCCAGACAUAACUCAUACAUUUCCAUCCAAUUGAUUUUUGACAAAAGUGGCACACAGAAUGGGGAGAGGAUAAAUAAAUAAAUUGUUUUGAGAUAUCUGUA